rnacentral:rRNA from 1 species
GAUGAACGCUGGCGGCGUGCCUAAUACAUGCAAGUCGAGCGAACAGACGAGGAGCUUGCUCCUUCGACGUUAGCGGCGGACGGGUGAGUAACACGUAGGUAACCUACCUAUAAGACUGGGAUAACUUCGUGAAACCGGAGCUAAUACCGGAUAAUAUUUCGAACCGCAUGGUUCGAUAGUGAAAGAUGGCUUUGCUAUCACUUAUAGAUGGACCCGCGCCGUAUUAGCUAGUUGGUAAGGUAACGGCUUACCAAGGCAACGAUACGUAACCGACCCGAGAGGGGGGACAGCCAACCUGGAACUUGAACCACGGCCCAACUCCUAAGGGAGGGAGCAAGGGGGAAUAUUGCAGCAUGGGGCGAAAGCCGGACGAGGCAUAGCGGGGGGGGGGAGGAAGGUCUCCGGUUGGUAAACCCUUGUUAUGGGGAAGAAACAAAGGAGUAAGAAACCGUGCAGGUCUGAAGGGUACCAAAGAAGAAACCCCGGCUUAAUUCGUG